rnacentral:ncRNA from 1 species
ACCCCCCUUUUCAACCAAAAUUUUAAGCUACAGGUGGACAUAUCAAUAAGCGGAGGAUAUGAGGCCAAGGAUUAACGGCGAGUGAAUGAAGAGGAAAGCCCAAAAUUUGUAAAUCUCAGGCUCUUUCAGAGUCCGAGUUGAGAACUGUUUUCAGUGCUGGCAGCAUCAUUGAGGGUGAUAUGGACUACCAGUGCAUGUUCAUGAUAUGGACUACCAAGAGUCGAGUUGUUUCGAGUUGUUUGGGGAAUGCAGCUCAAAGUGGGUGGUAAAUUCCAUCUAGAGGGAAAGAUGAAAGGAAAAGAUGAAAAGAAGUACCGUGAGGGAUGAAAUUGUUAAAAGGGAAGUUAGACUUGUUUAGACUUGUUAGUUAUUGACUUGUUUUUAAUAAAAGGGAGUAUUCUACAUCAAAUUUUUUGGAGGCGGAUUUUUGGGGUUUA